UCACCAUCACUAUUAUCACCAUCAUCACCAUCAUCACCAUCAACACCAUCAUAAUCAUUAUCACCAUCAUCAUCAUCACUACCAUUAACAGCAGCAGCAGCAGCAUCACCUUUAUCAUCAUCAUCGCCACCAUUGCCAUCAUGGAUCAACAGAAGGACCCACCUGUUCUGCCAUGGCACUCCAGGCUGGGCGACAGAGCGAGACUGUGUCUCAAAAAAAAAAAAUAACGUGGCUGAGAAAUAAUGGCAGCAGGGAUGAAGGGAUGG
rnacentral:lncRNA from 1 species